GCCAUUAACCCAUCAUCCUCGUAUGUCAUGUGUCAAUCAGACCCCCUGAGCCCACCACAAUCGCACAAUCACAGAUUUUUUUUGUACUCUUUUAUGAGUCCCUUCAAAGUAAAAGUCAUCUAACCAUUUAUGCAUUGAUUGGUACCAAUUCUUGCAGUUGUGUUUUAGAAAAUUACCAUGGUGGGACCUUUACUUGAUGUGAAAAAAAAAAAAAGUGAUUAAUCAGGCGCUCUGUUGACAAACGCAGGCUCCUGCAGUUUUCUCUCCCUAAUUAGCAGAGAAGAGGAGGGUAAUGAUGAGAGGAAGCACACACUAACCUAUGAGCACAAGAGCCACACGAUUGUCUGAAGCCAUAAAUCAAAAUCAAGUCCAGUCAAAUCAAAACAAGAAACUUUUCUGGUGUGGACUGUACCAACUUCGUACAGGCUUUGUCGUUUUAUCAGGUGUGACAUCAGUCCCCUGGUUCUUUGGUGUUGGAGGUGAUAUUUUGGCUUCACAGUGGACAGAAAUAAAAAGCACAUUGUCUAUUUAAUACACAGUUCAUGGAUUCUGCUUAUAUAUGGCAGUGUGAGGAUGCUUAUCCUGCUUAAGUGCUCACAAUGACAAUGCCAAAACUUGUGAAGCGAGUUAGAUAUGCACUUAUAGGUCGAUAUUAAUAUUUAGUACCAUGAACUGGCAACAUGCCAGCAGAGCCUGAGGAGCACUUAAAGCUCCUGUGGGAGGGGGUUGUGGCAAAAAUCAAUACUGAUGCCUUUGUGUGACCUGCAAAAUCAAACAAGCCCAUUAACCAAAAGAUUGAUGAUUUCUAUUUUUUUAACUAAUGUUUAAUUCCUCCGCCUACUACUGCUGGGUUAAUCUCAGGGGAAGUUUGAUACAGCACACUGUAAGACCAGCUUUCGUCUGCAUUACGAAGGUUACCAGUGAGGGGUAUAAUUGACUGGUGGAAGGGAGCUGGGGAAAAUUGUUAGAAAACAUUAUACAUUAGCAGGACCAGAUCAGCAGAGAAACAAGUGGCUCAGUUUUGUCCAUAGGGAGCGCCAAAAUCAACACAAAUAGGAAGUUACCCCUAUGAGCUUAUCAUGAACUUGAGCCUGAAAUGUCAGCUCUUUUUCAGACUUUUCUUUUUCUUUUUGAUGGAUUAUGACAAAUUUAGCUCUGAUUAAGGCACUAGAUGAAAAAUCUGAACAUCCCCAAGGUGAUAGAAUUUCAUCCUCAAGGGAGCCUGUACAUACAAAAGUUUUUGACUUUUAAUUUGAUAUCUGUUUUUGAGAAAAUUUGUUCAUGAACUAAGUCUUCUAUGUGACUAAGCAUUUUCUCAAGUCCGUGUACGUGCCAGAUUUCUUUCGCUCUUUUUGCUGAGUCACAAAAUGUAAAUAAGGACGAGAACAUCCAAUUUGAACUAAAUCCCCCUCUCAUAUUCGUCUUACUUUGGCAGGUCUUUAUUACUUAACUUGAGGCCAAACCUCAACAGCUGCUGCUCCUCAUUAGCAUAAACCAUCCUGCAGACAGCCUAUACGCAGAGUGUAUCUCCAAACAAUCUUAGUCUGCUCCAAUAUGUGCUCUACAGCUGGAGCAGACUCAAUUUUGAUUUCAUAUAAAUAGACAGAAGAUGAAAUAGGUAAGGGCCAAACCUAAUAACUGGUGGAAUGUUUUAUUUUACGUCAAUACUAAUGCACAGUGUGAUAACACAUCAAAUGGAUCAUCUGUAAUAACUGCUGCAUGUCCACUGAAUGAAGAGUGAAAAUAAAAAUGAAUUGUUACACUGGAUUAAUACAGAAAGAAGACAUAGUGUCAGUGUAUCAAAACCUUUUAUGUCUCCCUGAUGGAUUGACUCUCUAGUUAGACCUUAAUUUGUGGUGGAAAAUAUCUCCACACUUUUGAUUUAACAUUAGGACCAAACAGCCUAUCUAAGCCUGCAGCACACGGUGUGUCAAUGCCCCAAUCAGACUAAAUCACACUGAUAUUUAGGGGCUUUUAAACAUACAGUAGCUGAGCUUCAGUUUUCUUCAUUGUUGAAUAAAAGGUUCUCUCUGCAGCAAAAAUACAGAGAGCAUGAGAGUGUCCGUUUACCAUCAGUCGCACAGCUCUCCAUCAUGGCAGGCUGAAAUAGCCACAGGACUCUAAUGAAGGCCAGCAGGCUGUUUAAAAGUCUGCCGCUCGCCGCUGGGCCUCCAGCGUGACACGUCCUCGUGCGUAGGACAGUCGACAUUAAAUGCCUCGAGGAUACAGUGACAUAUGUAUUUGGAACAUCAUAACGGCACAAAACCAUUGAUAUCACUUACAGCUCAGGGGUGAUACAUCACUUAAAGGUCAGGAGAAGAGACGGUUCUAUCAGUCCUUUUCCUCAUCUAUUCUGUAUGAUCUUUGAAGGUCAGAUCUCCAGGAGAAAAAGUGGGAAGGAGAGGCUGUACAAUUACUGCAUGAAGAGAAAAAACCCUCAGAUUAAAAUCUGGCACCAUCAAACCAGCUGCUUUUAUUUCAUUGUCUGUCUGGAAACUAUUAAAUCAGAAGAAAAGUUGUCCAAAGUUUUUAAAAGAUGUUGUGUGAUUUAUUUGGCUGUUACUUAUUUUGUGACUGACAGAGUAUCUAAUUACUCCACUAAUUUACAGGGUUAAAAAAAAAACAGAUUUUAGAAACCUCUGUGAGGACUUUUCAGGACUGGAAUAAAAAGUGAUGACCAACCAAAGCAAACAGGAUCAUCAGCAAAGAUUUACUAUUUCAAAGUACUUCUUAAUGCCUUUAACCACUGCUGCAGGGUAUGGGUAAGCUCUCAAGUAAGCUAUUACAAUUUACAACAUGCCGAUGAAAUAGCCUUUUUAACAUUUACCUCAAAUCCUCCCUCAAAGCAAAACUUUUAUGGCAAGUGAAGUGUUAAUUAGGUGUUUAAAGUUUGAAUUAAAAUGAAUAAUCGAUAGCUUUGUUGACAAAUGCAGGCUCCUGCAGCGCUCUGUAGCAGAGGAGGGAUGGCGAGAGAAAACCUAACGAGCACUGACAUAACCCACUGAGAUGUGUAGCACUAGUACACACUUCUCAAGAAUCUGUUCUUCUGUGGACUGUAGCUACCAACCUCAGGGGCUGUUAACAAUUUAUCAGAAACACGUGUUUUGGUUAGUGGAAGAGCUGUGUACCUCGCAGCUCUGUCAGCCAGAUACCUUCUGGACAUGGCCUGGCUCCACCAGCGCUAUUUGUCAAUAUCCGUGGAGGAAGUCCUUUGGUUUCAGCUCACAAUGGGAGGAAAACCUUGUCCGUUUGAUGUACGGUCAAUAGCUUCAACUCAAGAUCGUAUACAGUACCCUUGGGAGCCCUCAGGUGAUCUGGCCAAAUUGCUGUUUAUUGGCUGGUUGUUGGUGUGACUUCCCUCACAUUGCAUGUCCGUGCUUGACAUUGGAGUUUUUAAAGGAGCAUUUCACACACAUGUUUUAUCCGUUUAAAAAAUAGCUCAUUAAAUAGCUCUUUUGCCCAAGACUAGCAAAGUCUUGCUAACUCCCCCUGUUCUACCUCUUGGUGUCAUGACUGCACUAAAUCAACCAUACUGCCUGACACCGUUUUAAAUGUAGGCAUGCCUCCAAUCAUGAUAGUUUCAUUGUAAUUAUUAAGGCUUACCCUUCUGAUCCCUGGAGUCACCAGUGUGAAUGGCACAAGUUAAUUUGGGUCAACUUGAGGGAAGUUAAACACAUCACACACCACUCUCCACCAUCUGUGAGCAGCAAACCCACAGAGGGCGGCCAACUGUUCCCAUUAAUGUGAUUUGAUGCUUUUGUUUCUUGCAGGCAUCCCUGGAGAGUGACCAUUAGUCUUGUAGCCACUUCCUUCUGAGCAGGAUAAUAGGAGGAAAAUGAUUGUCUUCUAUUCUUUUUUGAUGUUCCAGAUUGGAGUAAAUUUAAUCAGCAGACAAAUCCGAGACGUACCUGCACCGCCCAUCAGUCAUUUAUGUGAAAUAGCAGCAGCAAGGUAACGACUUCAUGAGUCAGAGAGCCGCCCGCAAGGUCUAAUCUUUCAAUCGACCCACAUGAUCCACAGUUACGGCUGACUCCUGGCCUUCCCUGUGCCUCGCCAGCUACGCAAGAAGAGGAAACCCAAAGAUAAUGUGAGUCGACAGCUCAGACCUGCACAGCCACAGCUUUUUAUUUAUAAAUCACAUUGCAGGGGGAUAUCUUCUCUCGCAUGUCAGAAACCCUCAAACUCUGAGCCU